rnacentral:misc_RNA from 1 species
AAACUAUUGUGAACAAUCACAAUAUAGAUAAAUCCCAAAACAGCCUAAAAUGGCAAACAAUAACCAAAUGCUAGUCACAGAAACACCAAAAUAUCAGUUCAAGUUAACACGAUUACCCCAUAAUUGAUAUAGAACCUAUUCAAGUAUACAAUGGCCAAUCAGUCCAUGCUCCAGAAACAUGGCCAUUCUCACAGACAUAAGCUCGAACAACUGGUUCUCCAUCAUCAUGGUACCCGAAAUACCUCCUCAAACAGAAGGCUGAAUGCAGAUCCCACGUCUGUUUCGAUGAGCAAAAUGCACAAUUCAGAUCGAUCUUCUUCCUAUUGCCAUCAUUAAUCGUCCUCCAUACCCUUGACUGCUUGAAAUUCUUGAAAAUCCCACGAAAUAG